AAUGAACGCUGGUGGCAGACCUAACACAUGCAAGUCGAACGAUUUAUAAAAACUUCGGUUUUUAUAAAGAGUGGCAAACGGGUGAGUAAUGCAUGGGAACCUACCUAUAAGACUGGGAUAACUUCGGGAAACCGGAGCUAAUACCGGAUAACAUUUGGAACCGCAUGGUUCUAAAGUGAAAGAUGGUUUUGCUAUCACUUAUAGAUGGACCCGCGCCGUAUUAGCUAGUUGGUAAGGUAACGGCUUACCAAGGCGACGAUACGUAGCCGACCUGAGAGGGUGAUCGGCCACACUGGAACUGAGACACGGUCCAGACUCCUACGGGAGGCAGCAGUAGGGAAUCUUCCGCAAUGGGCGAAAGCCUGACGGAGCAACGCCGCGUGAGUGAUGAAGGGUUUCGGCUCGUAAAACUCUGUUAUUAGGGAAGAACAAAUGUGUAAGUAACUGUGCACGUCUUGACGGUACCUAAUCAGAAAGCCACGGCUAACUACGUGCCAGCAGCCGCGGUAA
rnacentral:rRNA from 1 species